ACGCGCUGGUCUCAAGCAGGUUCACAAAAACGGCCCACCCUGCGUGCCCCCCGGCCUGUGCCCCGCAUACCCCAGCAGCUCUGGGCUGCACAGGGUCCACGGUCCCCCCCCCCCCCAAAUUUUCCACCCCGCGGCCGAGAGCCACGCCUGCCCCGGAAAUGGGGGCCCGGGAGCCACCUCCCACCGGAGCCUGUCUGUGAGUCCGUCACCCCCGCCCCCCCCCCCCCCAAGACGUCACGCAGGUUGGGCCGGAUUGUGAAGGAGGCGGCCUCCGUGGUCGUCAGGAAAGCGGCUUUGGCCCAGCCACGCGAAACUCUGGGGCGGCCCAGGACAGGGAGCGGGGGAGAAGGGGCUCCCCACUUCUCCCCCCGAGGCGGGUGGGGCCCGAGAGAGCUGACAGCGAGACUCAGGGCCAGGCAUGUCCCCCCCGGGGACUGCGGGCUUCUUAGGCUGAACUCAAGGGUAGGUGGAGGCCAGACCGCUCAGCCGUGGGUCUCCCCACACCGUCUCACCUUCCCGCCUCGUCGGCGCCAGUCCGGAACCACAGCGUGCCCACACUGGGGGCCUGCUUGCGUCCGGAGACCCACCCAGAGCUCGGUCUGGCCUUGUAGCUCGGCACUCCGCCACUCCCUCCCUCGUAAGAAAGUCUUAUAAGUUAGCAGUUGAAGAGCGGAAGGUAGGUAACCAGACUGGGAGUUUUUUCUGGAAGGCGUCUUUCUUUCUUUUAUUAUGGUUUUUCUCAUCAUCAUCACCAUCACCGUUGUUUCUUAUUUUGUUAUGGUUUUGGUUUUAUUUUUCCUCCCCCCCCUUUCUCAGCGAAUCCAUUCGUUCCGGCACAUCCCUUGGUUGGUUUUUCCACUCCUGCCUGAUUCCCCCAGGCACUUUUGGUUGGGGUGGCUGGUCAAGAAAUGGGGGAGAGGGCCCCAAGUAUCUGAUAUCAGAGGAAGGAACCCCGGUAUUUCACUUUAGGUGGGCCCGGAGGGUCAUUUUAGUUGACCCUGGAGUGGCGUCUGAGACGUCUCGUAGCCUGAUGUCUUUGAGGACGUCUCUCAUCACUGGGUAGCCCCACCACGGGGUGUGCACGUCCCGAGUGCCCUGUAAACACGUGCUCAGUGAACAAAUAGGGUUGCCAUGAUGGUAGGGUUCUAUAUGCCUCGCCAUGAAGCAAAGCCAGUGACCUCUCUGGGCCUCCCUCUAGGCAAGGAGAAUUCUGGAGUCAUGGGCAGUUGAGGUAGGGUGGCUCCAGCCGUCCUCAACUGGCCUGAGUGGAUAAGGACACAGGCUGAGGUCCGAAUCCCCGUCCUCAAGUCAAGACAGCCCCUGGGCAACAGCCGAGCCCCGGUUCAAAUACCGGCUCUCGCCACAUGCCUUGGGAAGGCAGCCUGCUGGUUUGGGGCCUCAGUUUCCUCAUCUGUAAAUGGGAGGUGAUCUGUGAAAGGCACCCCGGGUAGGCGGGGUCUGGCAGCCAGGAGAUAAAAAAGUGAUUAUAGAAAAGCAGGCCGAUGGGCUUUGACACCGUUUCCCCACCUGGAGCAUGGCCUGAGGCUGGAGGGGUGAUCGCUCCAGCCACUUAGCGUCUUGAGAAUUGAAUGGCUAAUCAGGGGGGCACGUUUUGAGCAUAAAGGGCUUAGGGUGCGCGGUGUCCAGAAGACGCAAGGACCGUGAGGUCUAACGUCAGUAACAGCCUUAAGCCCAGUCUCGUAGCAGAUACGCCACAGGUGGGGACUUAGUGUUAUUCCAGAAAGCCUGUAACGUACACAGUAGGUGCUUAAUAUGUGGGAACUAUCACUGUUACUUAGCAAAGCCCCUUAGCACACUGCCUGGCACACAAUAGGUGCUUCAUAAAUGCUCUCUUAAACCUGAACACAGAUCGGCGUGGUGCGAGGCCCCUAAUUGGCACUCACCAGAUGGAAGCUGCUUGUCACUUGCAACAAGCUUACCCUGGCGUCCCCUGCACAGUAGGAACCCCAGACACAGGGCCUAUGAUCGUUGUUCCCUGAAGCCCCUGGCAGAAUGCCUAGCAUACAGUAAGUGCUCGAUAAGUGGCAUUUUCUUCAAAGAGGCUGGCCUUGCUCUGGGCGCAUAUGCUCGGAUAGGAACCGUUGUCAGUCUGACAGGACCUAGCAUGGGGUUCGGGGUCCGCAGGUUCUGCUCAAACGUGAAGUUGUUACCUGCAGAACCUUUGACACUGUGUGCACACAGGAGGUGCUCGAGAAGGAAAAACUGCUCCGAUUUAUGUAUAAGGCCCUUAGCACAGCACUUGGCACACAGUAGGUGCUUAAGAAGUGAGAACUAUUCAUGUUCUACAAGGCCCGGAAUACAGUGCCUUAUACAUCGUAGGUGUUUAGUGGCUAGGAACUCUUGCUGUGCUUUUCAGUAAAGCCUCCAGCCCAGUGCUUGGCUUUGGCACAUAGUAGGUACUCAUCACGUGGGGACUAGUACUGUUACCCGAUGAAGCCCCCAGCCCGGUGCCUGGCAUAUAGUAGGUGCUUAGUAUGUGGGGACUAGUACUGUUUUCUGAUAAAGUCCCCAGCCCAGUGCCUGGCACGUAGUAGGUACUCAUUAUGUGGGGACUAGUACUGUUAAUCUGAUGAAGCCCCCAGCCUGGUGCCUGGCACGUAGUAGGUGUUUAGUAUGUGGGGACUAGUACUGUUUUCUGAUAAAGUCCCCAGCCCGGUGCCUGGCACGUAGUAGGUACUCAUUAUGUGGGGACUAGUACUGUUAAUCUGAUGAAGCCCCCAGCCUGGUGCCUGGCACGUAGUAGGUGUUUAGUAUGUGGGGACUAGUACUGUUUUCUGAUAAAGUCCCCAGCCCGGUGCCUGGCACGUAGUAGGUACUCAUUAUGUGGGGACUAGUACUGUUAAUCUGAUGAAGCCCCAGCCCGGUGCCUGGCACGUAGUAGGUGCUUAGUAUGUGGGGACUAGUACUGUUAGCUGAUGGAGCCCCCAGCCCGGUGCCUGGCACAUAAUAGGUACUCAUUAUGUGGGGACUAGUACUGUUUUCUGAUAAAGUCCCCAGCCCGGUGCCUGGCACAUAGUAGGUGCUCAUUAUGUGGGGACUAGUACUGUCAUCUGAUAAAGUCCUGAGCCCGGUGCCUGGCGCAUAGUAGGUACUCAUUAUGUGGGCACUAGUACUGUUAUCUGAUGAAGCCCCCAGCCCGGUGCCUGGCACGUAGUAGGUACUCAUUAUGUGGGGACUAGUACUGUUAAUCUGAUGAAGCCCCCAGCCCGGUACCUGGCACGUACUAGGUGCUUAGUAUGUGGGGGCUAGUACUGUUAGCUGAUGGAGCCCCCAGCCCGGUGCCUGGCACGUAAUAGGUACUCAUUAUGUGGGGACUACUACUGUUUUCUGAUAAAGUCCCCAGCCCGGUGCCUGGCACAUAGUAGGUGCUCAUUAUGUGGGGACUAAUAUUGUUUUCUGAUAAAGUCCCCAGCGCAGUGCCUGGCACGUAGUAGGUGCUCAGUAUGUGGGGACUAGUACUGUUAAUCUGAUGAAGCCUGGUGCCUGGCACGUAGUAGGUGCUUAGUAUGUGGGGACUAGUACUGUUUUCUGAUAAAGUCCCCAGCCCGGUGCCUGGCACGUAGUAGGUGCAACGUGGGGACUAGUACUGUUACCUGAUGAAGCCCCCAGCCCAGUGCCUGGCACGUAGUAGGUGCUCAUUAUGUGGGGACUAGUACUGUCAUCUGAUAAAGUCCUGAGCCCGGUGCCUGGCGCAUAGUAGGUACUCAUUAUGUGGGCACUAGUACUGUUAUCUGAUCAAGCCCCCAGCCUGGUGCCUGGCACGUAGUAGGUGCCUAGUAUGUGGGGACUAGUACUGUUAUCCGAUAAAGCCCCCAGCCCAGUGGCUGGCACAUAGUAGGUGCUCAUUAUGUGGGGACUAAUACUCUUAUCUGAUGAAGCCCCCAGUCCAGUGCCUGGCACGUAGUAGGUGCUCAGUAUGUGGGGACUAGUACUGUUACCUGAUGACGCCCCCAGCCUGGUGCCUGGCACGUAGUAGGUGCUCAGUAUGUGGGGACUAGUACUGUUACCUGAUGACGCCCCCAGCCUGGUGCCUGGCACGUAGUAGGUGCUCAGUAUGUGGGGACUAGUACUGUUACCUGAUGAAGCCCCCAGUCCAGUGCCUGGCACGUAGUAGGUGUUUAGUAUGUGGGGACUAGUACUGUUACCUGAUGAAGCCCCCAGCCCGGUGCCUGGCACGUAGUAGGUGCUUAGUAUGUGGGGACUAGUACUGUUAUCUGAUGAGGCCCCCAGCCCGGUGCCUGGCACGUAGUAGGUGCUCAGUAUGUGGGGACUAGUACUGUUAAUCUGAUGAAGCCCCCAGCCCGGUGCCUGGCACAUAGUAGGUGCUCAUUAUGUGGGGACUAGUACUGUUGUCUGAUGAAGCCCCCAGCCUGGUGCCUGGCACAUAGUAGGUACUCAUUAUGUGGGCACUAGUACUGUUAUAAAGUCCCCAGCCCGGUGCCUGGCACGUAGUAGGUGCUUAGUAUGUGGGGACUAGUACUAUUUUCUG